CAAGCUGAGCUCAGAGAGGCAAAGGGACUUGUGCAAAGUCACACAGCACGCUGGAGGCACAGGCUACGCUAAGAGCCAGCUUUCAGGCCCAACCCUCGGUCCUCUGCUGGGUCACCGACUCACCAGCUACCCUGAGUGAGAACCAUGUGUCUCGCAUGGUGUCCACACCAACGGUACAGGUUUGGCAGCAGAUCUUGAGAAGACGAGCUUUCUGGGCUCGUGGUUUGGAAACAGCCAAGGCCUGCAAGUUGUAGCAGCUCCUCAGCUGCUGGGGAGAAAACGGAUCCGGCCCUUCCGCAGGCGCUCUGACUUCAAUGUGCACGGCCUUUGACCUAGCAGCUCCACUUCUGGGAAAUAACAGCGAGGUGCAUGCUCACAGCUCCAGCCUGCCAGGCGGCAACGUCAGGAUGGCUUCAAAGGCGUCAGGACAGCCUCAGUGGCCAGCCCCAGGGGCCUGGACAGAAAGAAGAAAGCCCAUCAAGAUGGACCUCGGCCGCCCCCUCACCGACCGGCUAUGGGAACCAGCCUCCAGGAGCCGCCGCCACUCAGUGUCCAUGACCUUUCUGAAAUCCCCAUGCACACACAUGUCUAGAUGGGGAAACCGACUCCACGCCAGCCCAGGGGUCCCUGCUCACCACCCCAGCCCCACCACUAGCUACCCCAAGGGAAUGCAGUCCAAGGAGUCUGAGGGAUUGGCUGGGGUUAAAGGGAGAACGUGGGGACAAGCCUCAGGGACUCUCGGACUCGCACGAUGGCAGAGCCAGAAGGGACUGGUUACUCAGAGAUGUGGAAACAGGCCCACGGGGGGACGGUCACACCUCAUGCUCACCGUGGAAGGGCAGCCACUGGAAUGCCAGGCUCCGUGGCAAAGAUUCCAGAGCUGAGGAUUUAGCUGAGAACCCAGAAAGAACACCCAAGCCCCGAAACAACACCAGGACUCGUGCCCGGGAGCCCAGCGGACAGUCCAAGGUAGAGGCAGCGUCCACCAUCCCCUCGCUUCAGUGAGGCUGCAGAUGGGGCCAGAAACACCAGUGCACCCCAGAACAAGCCUCCCCACAGGAGGCACAGGGCCAACCAGCCGCCCUGCAGAGAUAGGGGCACUACUGGCUAUGGGUGUGGGGGGGACACCCAGGGACCUCGAGACCACAAACACAGGCUGCAGAGGACCUCCCACUGCCAGGGAGACCCCAGGGCAAAUACCCUGGCCAGCCCCCCAGCCGGGGCCGCCUGCAGGAGGGCAGGAGCCUUCUCACUGACACGGUGGGAAUUCCAGCCCCAAGGUCAGUCUGUAAUGGGGUGAAGUUCCAGGCACCCCUAGUCACUCCAGCGACAAAUCACAAAGGGCAUGGGAUUACAGGUGCCUCAGUCCCUCGUGCAGGGGUUCUGUUCAGGGCAGUGAGGGGACACUGUCACCAUACGGGUGGGCUGUCCCUCGUGCCUAGGGUUCUGUUCAGGGCAGUGAGGGGACUCUGUCACCAUAGGGGUGGGCUGAGAAAGAGGAGCGGCAAGUCCCUGGGGCUGUCAGGAGCCCAGGGGCCACUGCUGUGCCCAUGUCAUGGCUGUGAGCCUCUCAAGCAACCCCAGCACCCCAGGCAGGCGUUACAAGGUCUGAGUAAGUGACUGCUCACCAGCUUAUGGGGUGCCGGGUGCCUUGGACAGGGGCGGAGGAAGGGCCUCGGCUCUGCUGGAAAAUGGUGGGGAUCAGAGCAACCUUUCCCCCAGCUUGGGCCCCUCCUCUCCAUAGCCCCUCAUCGGAAUUCACGAAGGUCCUGAAAACCUGAUUCUCUCAGCAGGCAACCGAAACCAGGAAAGCAGCCUUUGCCAGGUCCUCAGGGUCCAAAGUGGCACCUCAGGGACACACAUUUGCAGAGGUCCCCAGGGUCAGGCAACACCAGGCUCUUGGGGCUCUUAUUCAAAACGCAGGUUCCCUCUGGAGCCAGUAGUGAGGACAGAAUGCAAAGGUACAAACGCCACUGAACUGUACCCUGGGAGACGGUGAAACUAAGUCCUGUAAAUGUCAUCUCACUUUAAAAGUGCCGCCCCCCCCCAGUAUAUUCUAGGCCCGCCCAGCCUUGGAGACCCCGACUUAGCAGACCUGGGCCUGGGAACGUGCAUGGGACCUGAGCGGCAGGAGUGGUCCACAGCCAGGGCUGGGGACCCUGCACCCCAGGAUCCGCUUUCCUGCACUGCUGGAUCUCAAUGCCGCCUGUCCUCCACCCAAGUUCCAUCAUCUUACCAGUGGGGAGACUAGGCCCAGAGCAUGACAGGCCCCAAAGCUCACGGAGGACCCUGAUGAAAUGCAAACAACCCCUCCCUCACCAAGGGCAGGGUGUGCCGCAGAGGGUCCCUCCAAGGUGAAGCCCCCCUCUCCCCUGCAAUGCAGCUCAGGUGGGGGGUGGGGGCCCUCGGAGGGAUGGUGCAGCUUUCCAGUCUGACUGUCCCCAACAGCCAGCCCCCAGGGCAAAGACGGCCACCGCCUUCCCACCUGGGCCCCAGGGAACCAGAGGAUGGAGGGUUUUUUAUUAUUAUUGUUAUUUUUUAAAUACGAAUGAUUUCCAGGCGGAAGGCAGAGGGAUGAGGGCCAUCGGAGGCCUCUGGCCGCGGGCACCCCGCCAGCCUCGGAAAUGUCUGGCAGCUGGAGGGAGCCUUAGCUCCUGCUACGGAAUGAGCUCGUCACUGCUCACUUCCCUGGCUCUCCGGCUGACGGGUCCAGUGUGUGCCUGAGUCUCCAAAGUCACUUCCUAGGCCACCCUCAAGGGACGGAGCAUCAGGGCAUGUGGGCAGAACUUCAGGGGGGCCUCAGUUUCCCCGACCAAGUGUGGGCAGAACGAGGGGAGCACUGAGUCAGCUGCAGGUCAGCCGGCCAUUACCCGGAGGCUGCUGGCCGCCGUGGCACUGGGACGGUACAGUCUCAGCCUUGACAGGCGAGUGACCCCACCGCCUAUCAAGCACCCAGACCUGCCAAGUCCCUGGCAUGGUACUGGUCCUGGGCACAGACUGGCUCUUUUCAUUUUUCACAACCACCAGGACAACGGGCCACUAUUACCCUCAUUGUACAAGAGAGAAACCAAGACUCAGAGAGGUUUAGGACUCUGCCCAAGGUCACACAGCUAGUGAAUGUCAAAGCCUUGCUCUAAAGCCAGUACUCUGCAAAGAAAGCAAGAAAAGAACCGGGGGACCGGCAGAUGGUGUAGUAGUUACGUCACUGGACUCCCACAUGGCCAACAUCGGUUUG